rnacentral:rRNA from 1 species
UACAGAGGUCUCGAGCGUUAGGCGGAAUCACUGGGCUUAAAGCGUGUGUAGGCGGAUCGUUAAGUACCUUGUGAAAUCCCACGGCUUAACCGUGGAACUGCUUGGUAUACUGGCGGUCUUGAGCCAGCUAGGGCUACCGGAACAAAUGGUGGAGCGGUGAAAUGCGUAGAUAUCAUUUGGAACGCCAAUGGUGAAAACAGGUAGCUGGGGCUGUGCUGACGCUGGAGAACACGAAAGCCAGGGGAGCAAACGGG